rnacentral:sRNA from 1 species
GGACCCCGGCGCGGCAAGCGGCGCGCCGCCCGUUCCGAAGAAAACUUGGGCCAACAGAAUUGUUUCCAUUUGGACAGGAAAGGCUCUAAAACCGGCC